rnacentral:rRNA from 1 species
CAUGCAUGCCUCAGAAUCACUGCAUUGCAGGAAUCUGCGCAUGGCUCAUUACAUCAGACGUAAUCUGCCGCAAAAAUGUUGCGGUCUCCGCAAGAUUGGAUAACUUGGCGAAACGCCAAGCUAAUACAUGAACCAACGGGACGCUCUCUGUUUUGGCGGUGGGGUAUCCCCUCACCGUUAUGGGACGUCCGGCGAAUGAAUGAAAGUAAAACCAGCGCCUUCACAGGCAGUAACACCCAGAAGUGUUGACUCAAUUCAUUCCGUGCGAAAGCUGGGCCAUCUGGUCCGGCGUCUUUUGACGAACAACUGCCCUAUCAGCCAGUGAUGGCCGUGUAGUGGACUGCCAUGGCGUUGACGGGAGCGGGGGAUUAGGGUUCGAUUCCGGAGAGGGAGCCUGAGAAAUAGCUACCACUUCUACGGAGGGCAGCAGGCGCGCAAAUUGCCCAAUGUCAAAAAAAAAGAUGAGGCAGCGAAAAGAAAUAGAGCCGACAGUGCAUUUUAUUGCAUUGUCGUUUUCAAUGGGGGAUAUUUAAACCCAUCCAAUAUCGAGUAACAAUUGGAGGACAAGUCUGGUGCCAGCACCCGCGGUAAUUCCAGCUCCAAAAGCGUAUAUUAAUGCUGUUGCUGUUAAAGGGUUCGUAGUUGAAUUGUGGGCCUUCUUUUUGAGGUGCAAUGGUUUUGUCCCGUCCACCUCGGACUGGUGACCCAUGCCCUUGGGGUCCGUGAACACUCGGAAACAAGAAACACGGGAGAGGUUCCUCCUGAUUCUCGCAUGUCAUGCAUGCCAGGGGCGCCCGUGAUUUUUUACUGUGACUAAAAAAG